rnacentral:rRNA from 1 species
UGGGGAAUAUUGGGCAAUGGGCGAAAGCCUGACCCAGCAACGCCGCGUGAAGGAAGAAGGCCCUCGGGUUGUAAACUUCUUUUAACAGGGACGAAGGAAGUGACGGUACCUGUUGAAUAAGCCACGGCUAACUACGUUCCAGCAGCCGCGGUAAUACGUAGGUGGCAAGCGUUAUCCGGAUUUACUGGGUGUAAAGGGCGUGUAGGCGGGUCUGCAAGUCAGACGUGAAAUUCCAGGGCUCAACCGUGGAACUGCGUUUGAAACUGUAGAUCUUGAGUGAUGGAGAGGCAGGCGGAAUUCCGUGUGUAGCGGUGAAAUGCGUAGAUAUACGGAGGAACACCAGUGGCGAAGGCGGCCUGCUGGACAUUAACUGACGCUGAGGCGCGAAAGCGUGGGGAGCAAACAGG